rnacentral:rRNA from 1 species
GAUGAACGCUGGCGGCGUGCUUAACACAUGCAAGUCGAGCGAGAAGUUUUGAAAAGAUUCUUCGGAUGAAAUUUAAAAUGGAAAGCGGCGGACGGGUGAGUAACGCGUAGGCAACCUGCCCCAUACAAAGGGAUAGCAUUUGGAAACGAAUAUUAAUACCUUAUGAAACUUAACUAGUGCAUGCUAGGUAGGUCAAAGAUUUAUCGGUAUGGGAUGGGCCUGCGUCUGAUUAGCUAGUUGGUGAGGUAACGGCUCACCAAGGCGACGAUCAGUAGCCGACCUGAGAGGGUGAACGGCCACAUUGGAACUGAGACACGGUCCAAACACCUACGGGAGGCAGCAGUGGGGAAUAUUGCACAAUGGGGGAAACCCUGAUGCAGCAACGCCGCGUGAACGAUGAAGGCCUUUGGGUCGUAAAGUUCUGUUCUAGGUGAUGAAAACUGACAGUAACCUAGGAGAAAGCCCCGGCUAACUCCGUG